rnacentral:tRNA from 1 species
GAUGGUGCAGUUGUUAAACACUCAGCUGCUAACUGAAAGGUUGGUGGUUCGAAUCCACCCGCUGCUC